GCUUUUUGGCGAAUUUUUGAUAGCAGUGGCUCGGAGAUGAGGAAUGAGACGUUGAGGACAUCUUGGCUGAAAUAAAAAUGCUAAAUUUUCAAAAAUUUAUAGAACUCUCUGAAUAUUCUCACAAUUUU
ensembl:ncRNA T23G5.9 ncRNA